UCUCACGAUACACCUGUGUGGCUUGGUGUAGCAGACUGUUAAUCUGCCGGUCGUAGGUUCGACUCCUACCGUGAGAGC
rnacentral:tRNA from 1 species